rnacentral:snRNA from 1 species
UUCCAGGAACGUUGAAUGUAUUUUAAAUUGAAACAGGAUUAGCAUAACCCCUGCACAAGGAAGACAUGCAAAUUUGUGAAGCAUUCCAUAUUAAA